rnacentral:rRNA from 1 species
CAGGCUUAACACAUGCAAGUCGAGGGGCAGCAUGGUCUUAGCUUGCUAAGGCCGAUGGCGACCGGCGCACGGGUGAGUAACACGUAUCCAACCUGCCGUCUACUCUUGGACAGCCUUCUGAAAGGAAGAUUAAUACAAGAUGGCAUCAUGAGUCCGCAUGUUCACAUGAUUAAAGGUAUUCCGGUAGACGAUGGGGAUGCGUUCCAUUAGAUAGUAGGCGGGGUAACGGCCCACCUAGUCUUCGAUGGAUAGGGGUUCUGAGAGGAAGGUCCCCCACAUUGGAACUGAGACACGGUCCAAACUCCUACGGGAGGCAGCAGUGAGGAAUAUUGGUCAAUGGGCGAGAGCCUGAACCAGCCAAGUAGCGUGAAGGAUGACUGCCCUAUGGGUUGUAAACUUCUUUUAUAAAGGAAUAAAGUCGGGUAUGGAUACCCGUUUGCAUGUACUUUAUGAAUAAGGAUCGGCUAACUCCGUGCCAGCAGCCGCGGUAAUACGGAGGAUCCGAGCGUUAUCCGGAUUUAUUGGGUUUAAAGGGAGCGUAGAUGGAUGUUUAAGUCAGUUGUGAAAGUUUGCGGCUCAACCGUAAAAUUGCAGUUGAUACUGGAUAUCUUGAGUGCAGUUGAGGCAGGCGGAAUUCGUGGUGUAGCGGUGAAAUGCUUAGAUAUCACGAAGAACUCCGAUUGCGAAGGCAGCCUGCUAAGCUGCAACUGACAUUGAGGCUCGAAAGUGUGGGUAUCAAACAGGAUUAGAUACCCUGGUAGUCCACACGGUAAACGAUGAAUACUCGCUGUUUGCGAUAUACUGCAAGCGGCCAAGCGAAAGCGUUAAGUAUUCCACCUGGGGAGUACGCCGGCAACGGUGAAACUCAAAGGAAUUGACGGGGGCCCGCACAAGCGGAGGAACAUGUGGUUUAAUUCGAUGAUACGCGAGGAACCUUACCCGGGCUUAAAUUGCAGAUGAAUUACGGUGAAAGCCGUAAGCCGCAAGGCAUCUGUGAAGGUGCUGCAUGGUUGUCGUCAGCUCGUGCCGUGAGGUGUCGGCUUAAGUGCCAUAACGAGCGCAACCCUUGUUGUCAGUUACUAACAGGUUCCGCUGAGGACUCUGACAAGACUGCCAUCGUAAGAUGUGAGGAAGGUGGGGAUGGCGUCAAAUCAGCACGGCCCUUACGUCCGGGGCUACACACGUGUUACAAUGGGGGGUACAGAGGGCCGCUACCACGCGAGUGGAUGCCAAUCCCCAAAACCUCUCUCAGUUCGGACUGGAGUCUGCAACCCGACUCCACGAAGCUGGAUUCGCUAGUAAUCGCGCAUCAGCCACGGCGCGGUGAAUACGUUCCCGGGCCUUGUACACACCGCCCGUCAAGCCAUGGGAGCCGGGGGUACCUGAAGUGCGUAACCGCGAGGAGCGCCCUAGGGUAAAACUGGUGACUGGGGCUAAGUCAUAACAA